rnacentral:rRNA from 1 species
GAUGCAAACUGCGAAUACCGGAGAAUGUUAUCACGGGAGACACACGGCGGGUGCUAACGUCCGUCGUGAAGAGGGAAACAACCCAGACCGCCAGCUAAGGUCCCAAAGUCAUGGUUAAGUGGGAAACGAUGUGGGAAGGCCCAGACAGCCAGGAUGUUGGCUUAGAAGCAGCCAUCAUUUAAAGAAAGCGUAAUAGCUCACUGGUCGAGUCGGCCUGCGCGGAAGAUGUAACGGGGCUAAACCAUGCACCGAAGCUGCGGCAGCGACACUAUGUGUUGUUGGGUAGGGGAGCG